UUUUUAAUUCAGAAAGUACUUUUCUUUAAAUGGGUGUCCUUAACUGUUUUUUACACUUCCACUUCACACUUCGUUCUGAAAAUAAAAGAAGAAGAUCUUCAUUUGCACAAGGAGAGAAAGAUCGAUGGGGAGGAAGAUUGUGGUCUGCAUCAUUGCAGGUAUUCUUGGGAUAUUAUCUACUAUUCUGGGGUUUGCUGCAGAGUCCAAAAGAAUAAAGGUUUCUGAUGUUCAAUUGACUAAUAGUGGUGGAUGUACAUACCCAAGGAGCCCGGCUUUAGCUCUCGGGCUAACUGCAGGAGUUGCUCUUGUGUUAGCUCAAGUACAUCUGUGUGCAUUUUUUGCGAGCAACACUCUUCUUGUGCCAAGUGGAUAACAUCCUUCAUCUGUUUUAUUUUUUCCUGGGUAUUGUUUGCACUAGCAUUUCUCCUGCUGAUGACCGGUGCUGCACUGAAUGAUGAACAUGUUGAAGAAAAGUACUUUGGUGAUGAAUGUAAUGUGGAGAAAACCGGAGUCUUUAGAAAGGAGCAAUCUUGUCCCUAGCAUGUGUGUCUUUAGGAAUCUUCUAUCACGCCGCUUUAGCAUUGCCUAAGA